rnacentral:misc_RNA from 1 species
GUUUAUGAGAAGGUUGGUUGACUCAAGUGCAUUGUAAUUUGAUCCUUAAAUUGAGAGAACUUGUAAUGAAAAUAGAAAACAAGCUAGAGAAAGGAAGAAGGUUGAAAAAAAAGGCUAAUAUUGAAAUGGAUGACAUUAAUCCUAGAGUUGUGAUUGAGGAAGUGGUGGAUGAUGAACAAGAGCCGCAAGUUCAAAGGCAUUAAAAGAGGGUUUUGCAGGAUUACAUAAGGCCAAUAGUGUUUGGUUCUACUAAUAGCAUUGCAAGACCUCCAGUGUAAGCUAAUAAUUUUGAGCUGCAGCUUGCUCUUAUU